rnacentral:rRNA from 1 species
UAGGGAAUUUUCGUCAAUGGGGGGAACCCUGAACGAGCAAUGCCGCGUGAGUGAGGAAGGUCUUCGGAUCGUAAAGCUCUGUUGUAAGAGAAAAACGGCACUCAUAGGGAAUGAUGAGUGAGUGAUGGUAUCUUACCAGAAAGUCACGGCUAACUACGUGCCAGCAGCCGCGGUAAUACGUAGGUGGCGAGCGUUAUCCGGAAUGAUUGGGCGUAAAGGGUGCGUAGGUGGCAGAUCAAGUCUGGAGUAAAAGGUAUGGGCUCAACCCGUACUGGCUCUGGAAACUGAUCAGCUAGAGAACAGAAGAGGACGGCGGAACUCCAUGUGUAGCGGUAAAAUGCGUAGAUAUAUGGAAGAACACCGGUGGCGAAGGCGGCCGUCUGGUCUGGAUUCUGACACUGAAGCACGAAAGCGUGGGGAGCAAAUAGGAUUAGAUACCCUAGUAGUCCACGCCGUAAACGAUGAGAACUAGGUGUUGGGGGAAUAACUCAGUGCCGCAGUUAACGCAGUAAGUUCUCCGCCUGGGGAGUAUGCACGCAAGUGUGAAACUCAAAGGAAUUGACGGGGGCCCGCACAAGCGGUGGAGUAUGUGGUUUAAUUCGAAGCAACGCGAAGAACCUUACCAGGCCUUGACAUCCCUUGCAGAGGUAUAGAGAUAUAUCCGAGGUUAUCAAGGAGACAGGUGGUGCAUGGUUGUCGUCAGCUCGUGUCGUGAGAUGUUGGGUUAAGUCCCGCAACGAGCGCAACCCUUGUGAUAUGUUACUAACAUUGAGUUGAGGACUCAUAUCAGACUGCCGGUGAUAAACCGGAGGAAGGUGGGGAUGACGUCAAAUCAUCAUGCCCCUUAUGGCCUGGGCUACACACGUACUACAAUGGCGUCUACAAAGAGCGGCAAGCCUGUGAAGGCAAGCGAAUCUCAUAAAGGACGUCUCAGUUCGGAUUGAAGUCUGCAACCCGACUUCAUGAAGCUGGAAUCGCUAGUAAUCGCGAAUCAGCAUGUCGCGGUGAAUACGUUCUC